rnacentral:lncRNA from 1 species
UCAAUUCAUAUUCAUGUGCGCACAUUUCCAUUUCAGAGAGCACACUCCCGCGAACCUCAUCCUUACAGCGGGAUUACCAGUCCAGGCUAAAUCCCCUGUAAUAUAAACUCACAGAGUAUUGUCGGGAUUACCAGUCCAGGCUAAAUCCCCUGCAACGACAAUUACUCUAAUGAGCUUGGAUCUGAAUUACCAGUCCAGGCUAAAUUCAGACCCUAAUUCGGAUUACCCGUCCGGGCUAAAUCCAUUUUCCACAUAUUCUUCGGGACGGCUAUAUCAGGAUAGGAUCACCCGUCCGAGCUAG